UUGAAAGUAAAAUGUAGUUGGUUGAGCUGGUCUCUCUGAGGCAAGUGCUUACCUUCUGCGCUUUCUUACCUUUCCACCUGUGCACAUUUGUAGACCGUGAAUAGACUCUCGCCUUAACAAGCGGAUUUGAAGCUUGCACGCAAGUGCUUGCUUCUACAUAUUCUCAGGUCUAUGUUUCAUACACACUUUAUAACACAUUGAAUGUUUGUUUACUGGUUGUAACAGACCUCUAAAUAAUAUA
rnacentral:misc_RNA from 1 species